rnacentral:lncRNA from 13 species
UAAUACUGGCAAUAUAUUUUACGCGUGAACACGCAAUCCUGAUAUCAUGGUUUUAAUUUGACAUUGUUUUUUUUCCAUGUAUACGUGAUUCGCGGCACGUAACGAUCCGGGCGACAUCGCGGCGACUCGCUGCCAGAAAGGCAAGGAUCGGCAUCACGCCAAUUUAACCCGAACAACAUGUGUCAUUACGCAAUCGCCAUUAGCGAUUCAAUAACCCGUUCGCCUUUCUUACUCCCUUCUCACUGCUCCCUUUUUUUACCGACAUUCGCGCUCGCGACACGCCGUUUGUCUUCGCCGCAUGAAAACCACCACCGUCGUCGUCGCCGGUUUCGCUUCCCGGAAGAAAAUUGACGCACAAUUACGCGCGGACCCCCCGUCGAUUGUUAAUAUACCUCGUGUCCGCCCGAUUCCUCUCCGUGUCCGUGUUUCUUCGCCCUCGACGAUGGGUUCAACGGUACGUACGUCGCCCACGCGUCGACAGAAUUGCCGAUCGUUAAUGGAGGAGAGAAAGAGGGAUCAUUAUUCGCAACCACGUGGUUGCUUUCGAUCGAACGGGCUCCGCACCGGCUCUAUUAUAGAAACCGAAUGCCGAAGGCAGGGACGAAUAUGACCCCGAACUGCGUCGAAUUCGCAAAGCGCGCUCCUCGCUCCUCGACGCCCAAGGAGGCGUUCGGGGGGAGAUAUUGCGUCAUCGUUACAUAACCCUCUGUUAGACAAUGGGACGGACGGGGGUGGUCGGCCGGGGGCACCGCCUGAACGCUGUUAUUGCCAGUUUACCGAAUUUCAUUUUUCGUUUUCGAAGCGCGACGCACUUCCUCGUGUAAACACGCGAUGGUGCCAACGGCGUGUACGCGAACGCGCGCGCGCGCACGUUUGUGCGCCACGCAUUUCGGCGCGCGAUAUCACCCGAUCCCUCGAGAGGCGUACAUACAUACGCGUACGUAGGAAAAUUUAAAAAAAAAAUAAACGAAAAUAGUGCGCUAUCGCAUUAAGCGUCGUCGGAUAUCGCGCGAGUCGCUGCUACCGUGAGAUUAGCGUUUGCGUCAAGUUACAUAUAUCGUUAUCUCGAAAAUAAGUAUCAGUCGAUUUGUUCCAUGAAAAAAAAGGGGAAGAAAGAGCGAGAGAGAGAGAGAGAGAAAGCGUGAGCGGAUGAAGAGGGGAGGGCAGAGGGCGGCAGAGAGGGUACGAAAGUGCGCAUCACCGUAGUUUUAAUCUCCGGUCUCGCUGAUGUCUCUUGGAUGCCCGUUUCAAGGCCAAGAGAGGGAGGGAGAGAGAGAGAGAGGGAGAGAACGCGCGGGAGUCUCUCGUUUCGCUUCACGACUAUUUGCGACUGACUUUGCGAGGAUCGCAAAAAAAAUUCGCGGUCGCGCGUUCACGAGUGAGGUUAUGUAAUUCAUCGUGGCCCCGUCGAGAACGAUCGGCGCCAGUGCACGAACGGCGAUAACAAUUGACAAGUUUUUCUCGGAGGCGACGGCGACGGGACGAGAUACAUCCAAUCCUCGACUGAUAUCCAGAAGAGCUAUCAUUUAUUUCAUCGCCUCUAGGGAAACCCCGGUAUUUAUAUCGCAGAAGUCAGAAAAAAUAGGACUGAAGGUAACUUGUUCCCAACCACUUUGUUAUAUGCCUUCAUGUUAUAUUAAUACUGUGUUGUGAUUUCAGUUUUUUUUUACUAUUAAUAUUAACGAAACCAUCGAGAGUUCAAUCAAUUUGUUAAUGUGUGAGUAGCACAAUGAUGUGUGUAACUACGUAAAAUAAUUAUUCUCUCUGCAGGGAGUGGCUUAAUGGUUAUUUCGAUAUGUAUAAAAGUGUAAAGAGAUAAUAAAGGAGGAAGUGUACAAAAAUAUAAAUGUUUAGCUUCCGUGUUCUCUGUUCAGUUUGUCUUGCUCACGAGUGGCUAUAUAUUAUUUCACUUCCCUUUUGACAUACGAAAAAAA